AACGAACGCUGGCGGCAUGCCUAACACAUGCAAGUCGAACGAGAGGGCCCCGCAAGGGGCUAGUAAAGUGGCGCACGGGUGAGUAACACGUGGGUAAUCUGCCUUUUAGUUUGGGAUAACCCUUCGAAAGAAGGGCUAAUACCGGAGAGACCACAGGGACAUCAGUCCUAGGGGUUAAAAGAUUGGGACCGUAAGGCCAAUCGCUAUUAGAUGAGCCCGCGCACUAUCAGCUAGUUGGUGAGGUAAUGGCUCACCAAGGCUAUGACGGUUAGCUGGUCUGAGAGGAUGAUCAGCCACACUGGAACUGAGACACGGUCCAGACUCCUACGGGAGGCAGCAGUGGGGAAUCUUGCACAAUGGGCGAAAGCCUGAUGCAGCAAUGCCGCGUGAGUGAUGAAGGCCCUAGGGUUGUAAAACUCUUU
rnacentral:rRNA from 1 species